UACGUAGGGUGCGAGCGUUAAUCGGAAUUACUGGGCGUAAAGCGUGCGCAGGCGGUUUGUUAAGCCAGAUGUGAAAGCCCCGGGCUCAACCUGGGAACUGCGUUUGGUACUGGCAAGCUAGAGUACGGCAGAGGGGGGUGGAAUUCCACGUGUAGCAGUGAAAUGCGUAGAGAUGUGGAGGAACACCAGUGGCGAAGGCGGCUCACUGGCCCGGUACUGACGCUGAGGUGCGAAAGCGUGGGGAGCAAACAGG
rnacentral:rRNA from 1 species